UGAAACAGAAAUUUGAACACAUUACUAAAACUGGAAUGAUACAGAGAAGAUCAGUAUGGCCCCCUGUGCAAGGAUGAUAUGCAGAUUGGUGAAGUGUUCCAUCAGAAA